rfam:Musa acuminata subsp. malaccensis Doubled-haploid Pahang (DH-Pahang) genomic chromosome, chr1
AGCUCAAUGAUCGUAUUCAUGUCUUUGACAAUAUACGCUAUUCUGAGGAAACUUGAAGUGCUGAUAAGAUACAGUAUGAGAGCU